rnacentral:lncRNA from 1 species
GCCCCGCCCCCGCCCAGGCCCCGCCCCCAUGGCUCCGCGUGGGCGGUGCUCGCGCCAGCCGGCCCUUCCCUGCUACUGGCUCCCGGCCAGCUGGGCGGGUCCCGGGCGAAACUUGCCCUUGCUCUGGGCCACCCCAGGAACCGGCCCACGGGUCCCCGGCCUCUGCCCCGCCCCAUUCCGGCUUGGCCCCGCCUCCGUUUCUUAGGGGUAGGUUCUGUUGCUGUGGGAAGGGGGCGGAGAGAAGGAAACCUUAUUUCAGCCGUGCGCUAGAUUAGACACAGCUAGAAUGUCUCCAUUGUGACGGGGGCUGAGGGACAAGGGGGUGCGGUCUCCUCGCUCUCGGUUCGGUGUGGCCAGCCAGCCCAGAGAGCCAUGGAGCUAAUGACCUCAGAGCAAAACAGGCGCUUGGGAGCCGCUGGGUAUGAGGCGCCAGUUUCACGGAUGAGGCAGGACGGGACGCUUCCUGUCAUUUUACCGUGACUUGCCCCAGGAGGUCACACGGUCAAGUGAAAGAUUCACACCUAUGUCGGCCUCCUGACAUUCAAACCUGCUCUGUCUUAAGAACCAAGCUUACUUCUCCGGAUCAGGGAGGAAGGGCUAGAAAGGAGAUCAAUGGCAGAGAGAGGAGUGGGGGUUCCUCCCCUCCCAUCCUUCUCUUAGGGCCAGGGCUGAGAGCAGUCCGGGAAUGCUGAGCAAGUUCUGUGUCUACCGCCAGGGGGAGACAGAGGCCAGGCUAAGCCCUUGCCUAAGAAGAGUAAAAGCACACUCACUGGAAGACCAGGACAGAGCCCAAUGCCUGGUUGGCUGCCCGUUCUUCCUAACUUCUCCCCUCUGGGAGAGGGUGGUACUGACCUGAUGCCACAAGAGCUCUGUCUCUAAACCUCCUAUCAGAAAGUUGAUCGCUAGGUAUCCACAGACACCACCCAUCCACACAUCUCAAAUGGGGACAACGCCGUUGUGGCCCUCAAGCAAGUUGGAAGUAGCCAUCAGGGACUACGGCACCCAGUUCACGGCUGGAACUUUUCUGGGCUCUGUCGGCCAGGUGCUUCCUGACCACAUACCACUUUGUUCCCCAGGCUAAACUGUGUCCCCAGAAGGGAUGACUUUCUUGGCAGCUUCCAAAUAAAGAUCCCACAGUGGUCCUUCAGGUUGGUAGACUUACUAUGCCUGCUUUGUUACACCUGAGCUUUAGGCAGAGAGAGACAGAGGAAAAGAAGUCACAGGAGAGAAAAAAAACAGACCCCAAGGCAAAUAGAGCAGCAAAAGAAGACGGGGACAAAGAACAGGCUGCUUCUAUAGGUUUUCCCCUGCUAUUUGAGAAAAACUGGAACCAACUCUCAGAUAAAUAACAGCAGCAGCAAGCCAGCAACUGAAGAAACAAAUAUAACUCCUGGUUGUUUUUAUUAUUCAGUGUUUCUGGGACAGUUUACUUACCACUUCUUCGUGUCACCCAGCUCCCUAUUCCCUGCCCUUUCUAGCACCCACCAUGGUGUGGCUGCAAGCUGUCCGCAAAGCUAAGCCAAGAGACCCCCCCAGCCCCAGCACCAGAUGAUCAGCAGGGAGAAUAACAGCUCCCUGGGGCUCCAGAACAGCCCCCAGCCAUGGCCUAAUCCUAAGGCUCCUCCUCCCUGAACCUCUCACCUCCUAUUCCUGGCACCAUUAUGCCUCCUCCAUCCUCAGACUGCCCCAGAACCUGGUGAGGUCAUCACCUCUACUCAUCCCUGAGGCAGCGGAAAGUGAGAGAGAAAAGGGGAUGGGGUAUGAAGAAGCAGACUUGUGGGAUGUUUUUCUCUGUGAAGAGUGAGACUCUGCUUAGUGGCUGGCCCUGCUGGGGGAGUGUGAAGCUUGAACCAAGGAGGGGGACUGGACAGCCUCAAGACAGGCCCCUUUAUCUCAGGCCACAGUGGUGGCUCAGGGCCCAGAACUGGUCAUCUUCUGCCUUGUCUCUCCCCUUCACAUCACCCUAAACCCAAAGGCCUCUUAAACUAAGAGGAAAGUCCCUUCAAAUUCACAGAACACCACUUCCUCUCAUUUGUCUAAUACAUUCGCAUCCAAAACA